UUCAGAUUUUGUUCAACAUCUUCUCUGAGUCCAUCCUCACAGCUACCCUGUCAAGGUGGUCAGCGUGGAUAUAUCCUUUUUCUGGCCAGUGAAAAAGAAGACAUUUAUGCAGCCAAAAAACACAUGAAAAAAUGCUCACCAAGACAGAAUUUCUAACAAGAUGUCCUGAAGCGCUGGUCCAGCAUCAUGCUUUGAGAACCACUGUAAUGAAGUGUAUAGAAGAGUUUCACAUAAUCUGUGAAACAAUAUGUAAAACAUUGUGUAUCUGCAUAUACACUGUUAUGGGGACAUAAUCCAGUAUUUCAUCAUAUUUCCAAAGAGAUUCUGCAGUCUUCUAUGUAUAACGUCAUCUGCAUGUCUUCGGCAAACAGAGACAAUUUAACUUCUAAAACCUGCCAACAAAGAAAAGCCAAGAACAGAUGGCUUCACGGAUGAAAUCUACCAAGCAUUUAAAGAAUUAGUAGCAAUUCUCAAACUCUUUCAGGAAAUUGAAGAGGAGGGAGAACACUUCCAAACUCAUUUUAGGAGUCCUGGAUUACUCUCAAACCAAAGCCAGAUAAGGACACUACAAGACAAGAAAAUCACAGGCCAAUAUUCCUGAUGAACAUAGAUGCAAAAUUUCUCAACAAAAUACCAGCAAACCCAAUUCAGAAGCACAUUAAAACAAUCACAUACCAUGACCAACAGACAUUUUUUUUUCCCUGAGAUGCAAGGAUAUUUCACAUAUGUAAAUCAAUAAAUGUAAUAGAACACAGUAACAGAAUUAAGGAUAAAAAUUUUAUGAUUAUCUCAAUAGAUUCAAAAAAAUCAUUCAACAAAAUUCAACAUUCAUGAUUAAAAAUUCUCAAUAAAUUACUAACAUAAGGCAUAUACCUUAAUAUAGUAAAGGCCAUAUACAACAAGUCAAUAGCUAACAUUAUAAUCAAUGGUGAAAAGCCUAAAAUAUUCCAUCUAAGACCACCAACAAAACAAAGGUGCCCACCUUCAUCACUUCUGUUCAACAUAGUACAGGAAGUCUUAGCCAGACUAACCAGAUAAGAAAAAGAAAUAAAAGAUAUGCAUGUGAAAAAGAAAAAAAAAAAGAUAAAAGUGGUUUAGAAAUGAAAGGUGAGUUAGGUCGGAAAAAUUGGCAUGUGGAGUAAUUCAUUUAUGUUUUCUAAGCCAAAGUUCUCUACUUGGAUAUUUAGGAAUGACUACCGACUUCGUUUAUUUGCUGUAAACACUGAAUGACAGAAUACCUAAGGAGCCACAAAUAAACAUCAACAAGUAAAAAAGAAAACUAGCAUAGCAUUUUUAACACAGAAUAUAAACAUGAAGAUUCAGAAGUGAGAUAUUUUCCGGGAUAUCAAAGCCAUUUGUAAAUUUCAAAUUAUUAUUUUUAGGCACUGUAUCUCCAAAGCAAGUCAUCUGAUUUCAAAGGAUUGCCAACACAGUCCCAAAUUUGUAUCUAAUUUUAUUGUUGAAAAUGAAAAUCAUGUGAAUAUUUUUAAUUGCUGCUUAGAUCAAGUAAUUUCCCGUACAUUAUCUAUUUUUACAAAAAAAAUCAUUAGAAGGUUAGAAUGCAUAAAAAUGUAGUAAGGCAGUGAGAAUUUGAGAAUUUAGACUACCCUUUGGUCAUAAAUCUGCAUGCACUUUCUGUUUGUUUUGUAGGGGGUGUUAAUGAGGAGAAUUUUUUUAAAUUAAGGAUUUGGAAAUCUCUUCCCGAAUUAGUAAGGAAUAGAAGCACUGACAGCUUGGAAUAGAAAAAAGAAGAUAAAGUGGUU